rnacentral:sRNA from 1 species
GCAGUCCAGAUCCAGUGUCGAUCGAUACUAGAGGGGUAUCAAUCGACACCGUCGUAGUGGGUCGUCUCUGAGAAAAGCGUCCCAUAUGGUGUCGAUCGACAUAGGAGGGUGUUGGUCGAUACCAUCUCUGCAACUACAAGCUCCAACUCGUCUUCAGUGUCCAAUUCCUCCCACACAUCAUCUCCUUCUCUGAUCAAGAUGGCAUUACAGCUCUUUCUUUGGUUAGCAUCAGGAUUACCAGGAAGAAAACCUUCUUGUCUCUUGAUAGAUUGUGCAGUUUGAGCUACCUGUACAUCUAGCUUCUUCAAGUGAGAGCUCAGAUUGUCGAUCUUCCCAUUAAGAUCUGUGUAGACAGCAUCAAACUUGCCAUUAAACUCCACAAGAAGCUUUGUUUGGCUCUCAAGAAUCUACUCAAGCAUUGAUUCCAUUCUUGUCUCUGCUGAGGG